UUCAAUCGAACAAAUAGCAAAACCUAUUUAUAUUGUUCUAUUAGGCCCCGAGAGUGUAAAUUUGGAACGAAUCGAUGUCAACAUUCACAAGAACCAAAACCGGAACAACAUUAGACUACUCAGUUGCGCCAUAACAGUAUAACUUUCCAACGAGUACUUUUUCUCAUUCUAUCAAAUAAGGAGUAAAAGCUUUCUAUUAUACCCCGAGAGUGUAAAUUUGGAACGAAUCGAUGUAAACGUUCACAGGAACCAAAACCGGAACAAAGUUAGACUACUAAGUUGAGCCCUAACAGCAUAGCUUUGCAACUAGUACUUUUUCUCAUUCAAUCGAACAAAGAGCAAAACCUAAUUAUAUUGUUCUAUUAUGCCCCGAGAGUGUAAAUUUGAAACGAAUCGAUGUCAACGUUCACAAGAACCAAAACCAGAACAACAUUAGACUGCUUAGUUGGCCAUAACAGUAUAACUUUGCAACGAAUUCUUUUUCUCAUUCUAUCGAACAUGGAGUAAAAACUUCCUAUUAUGCCCCGAUAGUGUAAAUUUGAAACUAAUCGAUUUAAACGUUCACAAGAACCAAUAUCAGAACAAAGUUAGACUACUCAGUUGAGCCCUAACAGUAUAACUUUGCAACUAGUACUUUUUCUCAUUCAAUCGAACAAGGAGCAAAACCUAAUUACAAUGUUCAAUUAUGCCCCGAGAAUGUAAAUUUGGAACGAAUAGAUGUCAACGUUCACAAGAACCAAAA
rnacentral:lncRNA from 1 species